GAUGACAGUUUAUCAAAAAUAUAGGUCUCCACAAAAGUCAAGAAAGUUAGUAACCUGAUGAUAGUGAAGCCAACAAUCGAAGCUCCAACGAAUAGCAACCGUAAAUAUAACAGUCCUAAGAUAAUAAAAUUCUUUGUCGGGUAAGUUCCGACCCACACAAAAGUCAGAACGAUC
rnacentral:ncRNA from 1 species